CCUACGGGGGGCAGCAGUGAGGAAUAUUGGUCAAUGGGCGCGAGCCUGAUCCAGCCAAGUAGCGUGAAGGAUGACUGCCCUACGGGUUGUAAACUUCUUUUAUAAAGGAAUAAAGUGAGGCACGUGUGCCUUUUUGUAUGUACUUUAUGAAUAAGGAUCGGCUAACUCCGUGCCAGCAGCCGCGGUAAUACGGAGGAUCCGAGCGUUAUCCGGAUUUAUUGGGUUUAAAGGGAGCGUAGAUGGGUUGUUAAGUCAGUUGUGAAAGUUUGCGGCUCAACCGUAAAAUUGCAAUUGAUACUGGCAGUCUUGAGUACAGUUGAGGUAGGCGGAAUUCGUGGUGUAGCGGUGAAAUGCUUAGAUAUCACGAAGAACUCCGAUUGCGAAGGCAGCUUACUAAACUGCCACUGACAUUGAUGCUCGAAAGUGUGGGUAUCAAACAGGAUUAGAUACCCUAGUAGUC
rnacentral:rRNA from 1 species